AACGAACGCUGGCGGCAUGCCUAACACAUGCAAGUCGAACGGGACCUGCGGGCUUGGUGGCGCACGGGUGGGUAACGGGUGGGAAACUGCCCUUAGGUUCGGAAGAACUCCCCGAAAGGGGUGCUAAUACCGGAUAAUGUCCUCGGACCAAAGAUUUAUCGCCAUUGGAGGGGCUCGGGAUGGAUUAGCUAGUUGGUAGGGUAAAAGCCUAUCAAGGGGACGAUGCAUAGAUGGUCUGUGAGGAAGAUCAGCCACACUGGGACGGAGCCACGGCCGAGACUCCUACGCGAGGGGGCAGUGGGUGAUCUAGGCCUAUGGGGUAAGGGCUGAUGCAGCUCUGCCGCGUGAGUGCUGAAGGCCUUAGGGUAGUGAAGCUCUUUUAUACGGUACGAUAAUGACGGUACCGGGAGAAUAAGCUCCGGCUAACUCCGUG
rnacentral:rRNA from 1 species